rnacentral:rRNA from 1 species
UGGGGAAUUUUGCACAAUGGGCGCAAGCCUGAUGCAGCGACGCCGCGUGAGGGAUGAAGGCCUUCGGGUUGUAAACCUUUUUCGCUCAUGGUCAAGCCGCAGCUUUGGGUUGUGGUGAGGGUAGUGGGUAAAGAAGCGCCGGCUAACUACGUGCCAGCAGCCGCGGUAAUACGUAGGGCGCGAGCGUUGUCCGGAAUUAUUGGGCGUAAAGGGCUUGUAGGCGGUUGGCCGCGUCUGCCGUGAAAUCCUCUGGCUUAACUGGGGGCGUGCGGUGGGUACGGGUUGACUUGAGUGCGGUAGGGGAGACUGGAAUUCCUGGUGUAGCGGUGGAAUGCGCAGAUAUCAGGAGGAGCACCGGUGGCGAAGGCGGGUCUCUGGGCCGUUACUGACGCUGAGGAGCGAAAGCGUGGGGAGCGAACAGG